AUUGAACGCUGGCGGCAGGCCUAACACAUGCAAGUCGAACGGUAACAGGAAGAAGCUUGCUUCUUUGCUGACGAGUGGCGGACGGGUGAGUAAUGUCUGGGAAACUGCCUGAUGGAGGGGGAUAACUACUGGAAACGGUAGCUAAUACCGCAUAAUGUCGCAAGACCAAAGAGGGGGACCUUCGGGCCUCUUGCCAUCGGAUGUGCCCAGAUGGGAUUAGCUAGUAGGUGGGGUAACGGCUCACCUAGGCGACGAUCCCUAGCUGGUCUGAGAGGAUGACCAGCCACACUGGAACUGAGACACGGUCCAGACUCCUACGCGAGGCAGCAGUGGGGAAUAUUGCACAAUGGGCGCAAGCCUGAUGCAGCUAUGCCGCGUGUAUGAAGAAGGCCUUCGGGUUGUAAAGUACUUUCAGCGGGGAGGAAGGGAGUAAAGUUAAUACCUUUGCUCAUUGACGUUACCCGCAGAAGAAGCACCGGCUAACUCCGUG
rnacentral:rRNA from 1 species